rnacentral:ribozyme from 1 species
UGCCCAGCAACUCUAAUCCUUACCUCCACGCAGUACUGGCCGGGGUAUACGCAACCUUGGGGAAAAUUGGGUAACCAACCCCGGUGGGAACUUUGGUCGUAUGCUGACAGGGAAGG